UCUAUGUAGUCAUACGCUCGUCUCAAAGAUUAAGCCAUGCAUGUGUAAGUAUAACUAAUUGACUUUGAAACUGCGAAUGGCUCAUUAUAUCAGUUAUAGUUUAUUUGGUGAAGGAUACUAAUUGGAUAACCGUAGUAAUUCUAGGGCUAAUACAUGAGUAAAGUCCCGUUGGGAUGUGUUUAUUAGAAUGAAAACCAUAUGCUUCGGCAUGAUAGUGAGUAAUAGUAACCUAUCGUAUCGCAUGCUUAAAGUAGCGAUGAGUCUUUCAAGUUUCUGCCCUAUCAGCUUUCGAUGGUAGCAUAUGGGUCUACCAUGGCAGUAACGGGUAACGAAAAAA
rnacentral:rRNA from 1 species